ACUCCUACGGGAGGCAGCAGUGGGGGAAUAUUGGACAAUGGGGGCGAAACCCUCGAUCCAGCCAUGCCGCGUGAGUGAUGAAGGCCUUAGGGUUGUAAAGCUCUUUCAGCGAGGAGGAUAAUGACGUUACUCGCAGAAGAAGCCCGGCUAACUUCGUGCCAGCAGCCGCGGUAAUACGAAGGGGGCUAGCGUUGUUCGGAAUCACUGGGCGUAAAGCGCACGUAGGCGGAUUGAUAAGUUAGGGGUGAAAUCCCGGGGCUCAACCUCGGAACUGCCUUUGAUACUGUCAGUCUUGAGUCCGAGAGAGGUGAGUGGAACUCCGAGUGUAGAGGUGAAAUUCGUAGAUAUUCGGAAGAACACCAGUGGCGAAGGCGGCUCACUGGCUCGGUACUGACGCUGAGGUGCGAAAGCGUGGGGGAGCAAACAGGGAUUAGAUACCCUGGUAGCACAGAG
rnacentral:rRNA from 1 species